CCCGCUCAGAAACUUAAAUGAAUUGACGGGGCCGCACAAGCGGUGAGCAUGUGGUUUAAUCGAUGAUACGCGAGGAACCUUACCUGGGCUCAAAUGUAUGUUGACGUAUUCUGAAAGGGAUACUUCUUCGGACAAUAUACAAGGUGCUGCAUGGUUGUCGUCAGCUCGUGCCGUGAGGUGUCGGGUUAAGUCCCAUAACGAGCGCAACCCCUAUCAUUAGUUGCCAUCAGGUCAAGCUGGGGACUCUAAUGAAACUGCCUACGCAAGUAGUGAGGAAGGUGGGGAUGACGUCAAAUCAGCACGGCCCUUACGUCCAGGGCUACACACGUGCUACAAUGGCCGGCACAGCGGGAAGCGAGGGGGCGACCUUGAGCGGAUCCCUCAAAGCCGGUCUCAGUUCGGAUUGCAGUCUGCAACUCGACUGCAUGAAGUUGGAAUCGCUAGUAAUCGUGGAUCAGCCAAGCCGCGGUGAAUACGUUCCCGGGCCUU
rnacentral:rRNA from 1 species